rnacentral:rRNA from 1 species
AUGCAGUCCCUGGCGCUCACAUCCCCCUCUCUCCCCGCCGCCGCCCCCACCCCCGCCUCCGGCCGCCGCCUCGCCACGCGCGUCCGCGCCGCCGCCGUCUCCGACGAGCCCAAGCUCAAUAAGUACAGCGCGCGCAUCACGGAGCCCAAGUCGCAGGGGGCGUCGCAGGCCGUGCUCUACGGCGUCGGCCUCACCGACGCCGACCUCCGCAAGCCGCAGGUCGGGGUCUCCUCCGUCUGGUACGAGGGGAACACCUGCAACAUGCACCUGCUCCAGCUCGCCGAGGCCGUGCGCGACGGAAUACGCGACGCCGGCAUGGUCGCCUUCCGCUUCAACACCGUCGGGGUCAGCGACGCCAUCUCCAUGGGUACCAGGGGCAUGUGCUACAGCCUCCAGUCGCGCGACCUCAUCGCCGACAGCAUAGAGACCGUCAUGGGGGCGCAGCACUACGACGCCAAUAUCUCAAUCCCUGGGUGCGAUAAGAACAUGCCAGGUACAAUAAUGGCAAUGGGACGGCUAAAUCGACCAAGUAUCAUGGUUUAUGGUGGAACCAUUAAGCCUGGGCACUUUCAGGGCAAUUCAUAUGACAUAGUAUCUGCAUUCCAGAGCUAUGGAGAAUUUGUUAGUGGAUCAAUCAGCGACGAGGAAAGAAAGAAUGUGCUCCGCAACUCAUGCCCAGGAGCAGGUGCUUGUGGCGGUAUGUACACAGCAAACACAAUGGCAUCUGCUAUUGAGACAAUGGGCAUGAGCCUUCCAUACAGCUCUUCAACCCCUGCUGAAGACCCAUUAAAGUUAGACGAAUGCCGUCUUGCUGGGAAGUAUCUCCUAGAAUUGUUAAAGAUGGAUUUGAAGCCUAGAGACAUUAUAACUGAGAAGUCAUUGCGGAACGCAAUGGUUAUUAUCAUGGCACUUGGUGGGUCUACUAAUGCUGUACUGCAUUUGAUUGCUAUUGCCAGGUCUGUGGGUUUGCAAUUAACUCUUGAUGAUUUCCAGAAGGUCAGCGACCAAGUUCCUUUUCUUGCAGAUCUUAAGCCUAGUGGAAAGUAUGUCAUGGAGGAUCUGCAUAAGAUUGGCGGAACACCUGCAGUAAUUCAUUAUCUCUUGGAACAAGGUCUUCUUGAUGGGGAUUGUAUGACUGUCACUGGAAAAACUCUAGCGGAAAAUGCAAAAAUAUUCCCACCUUUAUCGGAAGGACAGCAAAUAAUACGACGGCUCGACAAUCCUAUCAAAUCGACUGGGCAUAUACAGAUACUUUAUGGCAAUCUUGCACCAGAAGGUUCAGUAGCAAAAAUAACCGGCAAGGAGGGACUGUUUUUCUCAGGUCCUGCACUAGUUUUUGACGGUGAAGAAUCAAUGAUUACAUCUAUAUCAGAAAACCCAGCAAAUUUCAAGGGAAAGGUUGUACUGAUCCGAGGAGAAGGACCAAAAGGAGGUCCCGGGAUGCCUGAAAUGUUGACUCCAACAAGUGCAAUAAUGGGGGCUGGUCUUGGGAAGGAGUGUGCCCUGCUGACAGAUGGUAGAUUUUCUGGGGGGUCGCAUGGAUUUGUUGUGGGCCACAUAUGUCCUGAAGCACAGGAAGGAGGCCCAAUUGGUCUUGUUGAGAAUGGCGAUACAAUCACGAUCGACGUCGGGAAGAAAGUAAUUGAUGUUGAUUUGACAGAAGACCAGCUCGAACAAAGGCGAAGGAAAUGGCGCCCGCCCCCACACAAGGUUACUAGUGGAGCACUAUGGAAGUACAUAAAGCUCGUGUCUUCAGCCUCAAGCGGGUGCGUCACCGACGAAUAG